UGGGGAAUUUUGGACAAUGGGGGCAACCCUGAUCCAGCAAUGCCGCGUGUGUGAAGAAGGCCUUCGGGUUGUAAAGCACUUUUGUCCGGAAAGAAAUCGCCCUGGCUAAUAUCCGGGGUGGAUGACGGUACUGGAAGAAUAAGCACCGGCUAACUACGUGCCAGCAGCCGCGGUAAUACGUAGGGUGCGAGCGUUAAUCGGAAUUACUGGGCGUAAAGCGUGCGCAGGCGGUUGUGCAAGACAGAUGUGAAAUCCCCCGGGGCUUAACCUGGGAAAUGGCAUUUGUGACUGCACGGCUAGAGUGUGUCAGAGGGGGGUAGAAUUCCACGUGUAGCAGUGAAAUGCGUAGAUAUGUGGAGGAACACCGAUGGCGAAGGCAGCCCCCUGGGAUAACACUGACGCUCAUGCACGAAAG
rnacentral:rRNA from 1 species